AUUGCUAGUGCAUUCAUUGUUCAUUCAAAAUAUGGUCCCUGUUCUAAAGUAGAGGCUGGGAGGGUGUUACACUUGCUUAUUCUACAACUGUUCUCCUACUAUUUGGGAUUUAUUCAGACAGUAUACAAGUAGGUUAUGCAUAUUCUAUUUUGGUACUUACUACUGAUUAGUAUGUAGAGAUCAAGGCUUACAAGGUCAUUAUUAAGAUUAUAUA